rnacentral:rRNA from 1 species
UACGUAGGGUGCAAGCGUUGUCCGGAAUUAUUGGGCGUAAAGAGCUCGUAGGCGGUCUGUCGCGUCGGCUGUGAAAUCCCGAGGCUCAACCUCGGGUCUGCAGUCGAUACGGGCAAACUGGAGUACUGCAGGGGAGACUGGAAUUCCUGGUGUAGCGGUGAAAUGCGCAGAUAUCAGGAGGAACACCGGUGGCGAAGGCGGGUCUCUGGACAGUUCCUGACACUGAGACACGAAGGCCAGGGGAGCAAACGGG